ACCUGUCAGGCAGGUGCUCAGGUUUUGUACCAUAUGGCAGAAGGCGCCACUUCUGACAUUUAUCACAGGCGACCCAAUCUUCUUCUAUAACGACAGGAGCAACUGGUGGCUCAGUCCCAGAAGUCAGUUCCUUAGCACCCAUUGCUGAAGGAUCCUUCAUCGGGGUCGCAGAUACCACAUGACUAUCAACUUUUUUGCUUGGAACGUGUCUUGAUUUAGCAGAGGCACCCAUUCCUGAAGGAUCCUUCAUCGGGGUCGCAGAUACCACAUGACUAUCAACUUUUUUGCUUGGAACGUGUCUUGAUUUAGCAGAAGAUGAAUUCUGUUUUAUACGUGCCUCCAAUUUA
rnacentral:lncRNA from 1 species